ACUGGGUGUGGUGGUGCGCACCUGUAAUCCCAGCUACUGGGGAGGCUGAGGCAGGAGAAUAGCUUGAACUCAGGAGGCGGAGGUUGCAGUGAGCUGAGAUCAUGCUACUGCACCCCUGCCUGGGUGACAGAGCAAGACUCUGUCUCAA
rnacentral:SRP_RNA from 1 species